AAAAAAAAAAAAAGAAACCAUACUGGCUAGUUCUGAAAAGUAGGGGGUUGGUGCUGAAUGAUUGUGAGAUGCAGAAUGUUAGUGGGACAGGGUCCAGAGAAAAUGGGCUUCACCAGUGCAAGGAAGAAAGGUCGGGAAGUUGUGAAUGUGAACUUGAAAGCCACGAGGCCACGCUUGUCAGAACUGUGCUGAAGUAAGAGCUAAUUCGGAGUGUCUUUUCUCUGUGGUGAAGUCGUGGGCUUUGUUCCAGUCCCCUCAAGUCCUCUUUGCUUGAUUUUGGUUUCUUGAUGGAAUCCCAGAGGGCCGAGAUUGCUGCAAUCCCAUGACGAUGCCUAGAAUCACAGAUGUUUGGUCUGGCUUUCUGUUUCACCUCUCCUAUAUGGCAGCUCAUUGUUGGACCUCCUUUUCUUCUUCCUGUCUGCAUAGGAAAAGAAUGUCCCCCUCGCUAUAAAUGAAACAGAGAAGACCAAGAUGAAGAGGAAGAUGAGCGCAGUGCAGCAUGCCGAGGCACCGGGGACUCAGCAGGGACUCAGGAGAAGAGAGACCCUGUGGAAACAGGACGAGCUGUCCUAUGAGAGGUCUCCGGAGGUGAAGGACCACAGGAGAGCAGAAGUCUCGUCUGUCUGAUGACCUCCCUCAGUCUGGCCCAGAGCAGGUGCUCACCAAAUGUGCCAUCAGCCCCCUCCUGGGAGCAGAAGCUAGAGCAGGGAGCAAUCAGACGAGCUCCUCCCGGGUUUCCUGGUAGCCUCGUGCCAUCACUGCACUCCCUGGGAGCGUGAAGAGACCAGCGCAGCAAUUGUCCAGCCUGUUCUUCAUGGACCACUAAACGCAUUGUGAGCCAGGAAGCCAGAGCCUGGCCCCAGGCAGGGCCCAGCUCACACACAGGCUGCAGUCAGCAGCCUCCAAGCACAGACGUGAUUUUGCACAGAGGGGAGGAUGAGCGAGGAAGAACCCUGCUGCUUUCACCCAAGCGCCCUGUCCCCUCUUCCCUGAGCUCCCCCAUGCCCCAGCCAGAGGCAACCCCUGCCAUCCCUGAGCGACAUGUGGCCCAUCGACCCAUCAUCCAGAACAUCAUUGUUGCGUGGCCUAUUGGACACCUCCGUGCCCUUGUUUCUCCUCACUGGGGGCCACCUAUGUCCCCUGGACCUGUGCUGUCCCCUCAGCCGGGCUCGCUGGGCAGUCAGCUCAUGUCUGAAGAGCGUUGUCACACGUGAUGGGAAUGUGUGGCUUGUGCCAAGGUGUGUGGCAGCUAAUGACUUGUCUGCUUCCCAGGAGAAGGUGCUAAUUAGAUACUUGGUUUGCAGGGAAAGGAUGCCCAGCCCUGGAGGAAUCAGGUUCCAUCAUCCAAGUGUUAUGAAGGAACAACUGGGUGCCUAAUUGUCCAGGGAGUAACAGUUGUAUCAAAUUAUAAGCUUGAAGGGACUGACAGUGGCUCAUGACUGAGGUCUCCCUGCAGCGGUGAGGGGCUCUCGCUGGGCCUUUCAAAUGCCUGUCUGAGUCUCCAGCGACACUGCUCUCCUUGGCACGGAAGGCUGUCCCUGCAGCCCCCAGCACCCAACCCCACCCUGCAUCCCAGAAAGUUUACCCCAGGGCUUGAAGGGGAGGGUGCCAAGGGAGGUCCUGUUCCUCCUGCCUGUCAGAGAACUGGAAGCUUUUUCAAUCUUACCUUGCCCUUUGGAGCUAACAUAUCAGAGCCAGACCUCCCUCUCUGUCCCCCCUGCAGAAAACGGUCAUAGCCUUUAGCAACAAUGGGGAUUUGUUUGGGGGUCAGGGCUGGCUUGUCUGGGACUGAUGAUUACAAUAGCUCUAAAGGCACCUGAAGACCUGUAGAACUGGGUGAGGGCUCGUGGGCUGGACUUGUGUGUGGUAUAGGAAAAUAACAGGCAGAGCUUCCCUCCCCUCCUGCAGGGUCUCAUUCAGUGCCCAGCAUCUGGGAGGAAUGAGGGUGGGGCCAGCCUCGGAGGCCCUCUAUGGCUCUCCCUGGACUAGGGGUCCUGCAGGGGCACAAAAGGAGAUCCACACACUGUAUGUCUACACACCUAAAGGUUAUGUGCCAAGCCAACCAAUUAGAUCCAAUCCAUGCCAUUCUACCACCUUGACCAAGGUACCUUUAUAACUGCAAAACGACAAAAAUAUGUGUGACACUAUUGCUUUUAUGCUUAUAUGUUUGGUAAAAUGUGAAAGAUGUCAGAAUUUAAUGUUGUGUAUGCUUGGCUGUUGAUGAGAUGGCUGUAUUUGGGUGUGUCUGGCUGAUACUGCAUGGCUCUCUGCCCAGGAGCUCGGAUCCUUGGGCUCUGCAGGGCUGGUGCCCUCACCCAGGAGGGCCUGCCCUGACCACCCCACCCUAACCCAUCCAUCACCUUUGGUCCAAUUAUCUCACUUAUUUUCUUCUUAGAACUUGACACUAUUAGAAAUAAUAUUAUUUAUGUGUUUGUUUGCUGUCUGUCUUCUCAAAUGAAGAAUCAAUGAGGCAGGGAUUUUGUCCGUGAUGUUUGUAGCUAAACACCCAGCAACAGAUACAGAGCCUGGCUUGUACUUGCCAACAUCUGUUGAGCAAAUGAAUGAUAUACAAUCAGUGGGUAUGAAGAUCUUAGAAACUGCUAGGUAAACAGAUAACAAAUCCAGAAGAAACAUUAGACACUCAGGGGUGAAUGUAAACUGCUUAAAAGCAGGUUUUGUUUUUGCAUUCAAAAUAAGAAAUGUGGGAAAUAGAAAGAAAAAUGCAGCGGGACAUUGAGAUGCAGACUUCAGGGUAAACUCUCACAAGCAGACAACAUGGGGACAAGAUGGGGGUGGCAUCCUGAUGACAGCAAUUUCACCUUCUCUGGGAAAGACCCCAGGAUUCUCAGAUGGGCUCCCUGUAGCUGGGCUCCUGUCUUCUGGAAAGACUGCUGGGUCUAGGGAUGUACACCUCUUCCAAGUUGGGUGACUCACAGAGCUCAGCCCCUCUGGCCAUAGUUAAUUGGUCCCAGGCUAUGUGACCUGCUGAUAUGGUUUGGCUCUGUGUCCCCACCCACAUCUGCCCUUGGAUUGUAAUAAUCGCCACGUGUCAAGGGCAGGACCAGGUGAAGAUAAUUGAAUCAUGGGGGCGGUUCCCCCGCGCUGUUCUUGUGAUAUUGAGUGAGUUCUCACAAGACCUGAUGGUUUUAGAAGGGGCUUCCCCCUUUACUCGGCACUCAUUCUCUCUCCUGCCACCCUGUGAAGAGGUGCCUUCCACCAUGAUUGUAAGUUUCCUGGGGCCUCCCCAGCUAUGCAGAACUGGGUCAAUUAAACCUCUUUUCUUUAUAAAUUACCUGGUCUCGGGCAUUUCUUCAUAGCAGUGUGAGAAUGGACUAGUAACACCUGCCAAGACAAGUUGCG
rnacentral:lncRNA from 10 species